GGAGAGAUGGCCGAGUUGGUCUAAGGCGCCACGUUAAGGCCGUGGUCUCUUCGGAGGCGUGGGUUCGAAUCCCACUCUCUUCA